rnacentral:rRNA from 1 species
UACGUAGGGUGCGAGCGUUAAUCGGAAUUACUGGGCGUAAAGCGUGCGCAGGCGGUUUUGUAAGCCAGAUGUGAAAUCCCCGGGCUUAACCUGGGAAUUGCAUUUGUGACUGCCCGGCUAGAGUGUGUCAGAGGGGGGGUAGAAUUCCACGUGUAGCAGUGAAAUGCGUAGAUAUGUGGAGGAAUACCGAUGGCGAAGGCAGCCCCCUGGGAUAACACUGACGCUCAUGCACGAAAGCGUGGGGAGCAAACGAGGAUU